rnacentral:rRNA from 1 species
UACGUAGGGCGCAAGCGUUGUCCGGAAUUAUUGGGCGUAAAGAGCUCGUAGGCGGUCUGUUACGUCUGCUGUGAAAACCCGGGGCUUAACCCCGGGCUUGCAGUGGAUACGGGCAGACUAGAGGUAGGUAGGGGAGAAUGGAAUUCCCGGUGUAGCGGUGAAAUGCGCAGAUAUCGGGAGGAACACCGGUGGCGAAGGCGGGUCUCUGGGCCGAUACUGACGCUGAGGAGCGAAAGCUAGGGGAGCAAACGGG